CAGCACCUCAAGUGGUCAGGAUGAUUAUUGGGCCUAAAGCAUCCGUAGCCGGCGCUGUAAGUUUUCGGUUAAAUCUGUACGCUCAACAUACAGGCUGCCGGGAAUACUGCAGAGCUAGGGAGUGGGAGAGGUAGACGGUACUCGGUAGGAAGGGGUAAAAUCCUUUGAUCUAUUGAUGACCACCUGUGGCGAAGGCGGUCUACCAGAACACGUCCGACGGUGAGGGAUGAAAGCUGGGGGAGCAAACCGGAUUAGAUACCCGCGUAGUCC
rnacentral:rRNA from 1 species